GUAGGUGGCAAGCGUUGUCCGGAAUUAUUGGGCGUAAAGCGCGCGCAGGCGGUCCUUUAAGUCUGAUGUGAAAGCCCACGGGCUCAACCGUGGAGGGUCAUUGGAAACUGGGGGACUUGAGUACAGAAGAGGAAAGCGGAAUUCCACGUGUAGCGGUGAAAUGCGUAGAGAUGUGGAGGAACACCAGUGGCGAAGGCGGCUUUCCGGUCUGUAACUGACGCUGAGGCGCGAAAGCGUGGGGAGCAAACAGGAUUAGAUACCCUGGUAGUCCACGCCGUAAACGAUGAGUGCUAAGUGUUAGGGGGUUUCCGCCCCUUAGUGCUGCAGCUAACGCAUUAAGCACUCCGCCUGGGGAGUACGGCCGCAAAGGCUGA
rnacentral:rRNA from 1 species